UUACGGGAGGCAGCAGUUGGGAAUCUUGCACAAUGGGGGAAACCCUGAUGCAGCGACGCCGCGUGGAGGACGAAGGGUCUAGGCUCGUAAACUCCUUUUUUCGGGAAAGACUUAGGACGGUACCCGAAGAAUAAGCACCGGCUAACUACGUGCCAGCAGCCGCGGUAAGACGUAGGGUGCAAGCGUUGUCCGGAUUUACUGGGCGUAAAGAGCGCGUAGGCGGCUCGUUAAGUGAGAAGUGAAAGCUCUGAGCUCAACUCAGAAACCGCUUUUCAUACUGGCGAGCUAGAGUGAUGCAGAGGUGGAUAGAAUUCCCGGUGUAGCGGUGAAAUGCGUUGAUAUCGGGAGGAAUACCCGUGGCGAAGGCGGUCCACUGGGCAUCAACUGACGCUGAGGCGCGAAAGCGUGGGUAGCAAACAGGAUUAGAUACCCUAGUAU
rnacentral:rRNA from 1 species